GGGGAUUUAGUUCAGUAGUAAAACGUGUGCUUAACACACACAAGGCUCUGGGUUCGAGCCCAACACCUCCA
rnacentral:tRNA from 1 species